UUAAGCGACUAAGCGUACACGGUGGAUGCCCUGGCAGUCAGAGGCGAUGAAGGACGUGCUAAUCUGCGAUAAGCGUCGGUAAGGUGAUAUGAACCGUUAUAACCGGCGAUUUCCGAAUGGGGAAACCCAGUGUGAUUCGUCACACUAUCAUUAACUGAAUCCAUAGGUUAAUGAGGCGAACCGGGGGAACUGAAACAUCUAAGUACCCCGAGGAAAAGAAAUCAACCGAGAUUCCCCCAGUAGCGGCGAGCGAACGGGGAGCAGCCCAGAGCCUGAAUCAGUGUGUGUGUUAGUGGAAGCGUCUGGAAAGGCGCGCGAUACAGGGUGACAGCCCCGUACACAAAAAUGCACAUGCUGUGAGCUCGAUGAGUAGGGCGGGACACGUGGUAUCCUGUCUGAAUAUGGGGGGACCAUCCUCCAAGGCUAAAUACUCCUGACUGACCGAUAGUGAACCAGUACCGUGAGGGAAAGGCGAAAAGAACCCCGGCGAGGGGAGUGAAAAAGAACCUGAAACCGUGUACGUACAAGCAGUGGGAGCACAGAGCAAUCUGUGUGACUGCGUACCUUUUGUAUAAUGGGUCAGCGACUUAUAUUCUGUAGCAAGGUUAACCGAAUAGGGGAGCCGAAGGGAAACCGAGUCUUAACUGGGCGUUAAGUUGCAGGGUAUAGACCCGAAACCCGGUGAUCUAGCCAUGGGCAGGUUGAAGGUUGGGUAACACUAACUGGAGGACCGAACCGACUAAUGUUGAAAAAUUAGCGGAUGACUUGUGGCUGGGGGUGAAAGGCCAAUCAAACCGGGAGAUAGCUGGUUCUCCCCGAAAGCUAUUUAGGUAGCGCCUCGUGAAUUCAUCUCCGGGGGUAGAGCACUGUUUCGGCAAGGGGGUCAUCCCGACUUACCAACCCGAUGCAAACUGCGAAUACCGGAGAAUGUUAUCACGGGAGACACACGGCGGGUGCUAACGUCCGUCGUGAAGAGGGAAACAACCCAGACCGCCAGCUAAGGUCCCAAAGUCAUGGUUAAGUGGGAAACGAUGUGGGAAGGCCCAGACAGCCAGGAUGUUGGCUUAGAAGCAGCCAUCAUUUAAAGAAAGCGUAAUAGCUCACUGGUCGAGUCGGCCUGCGCGGAAGAUGUAACGGGGCUAAACCAUGCACCGAAGCUGCGGCAGCGACGCUUAUGCGUUGUUGGGUAGGGGAGCGUUCUGUAAGCCUGCGAAGGUGUGCUGUGAGGCAUGCUGGAGGUAUCAGAAGUGCGAAUGCUGACAUAAGUAACGAUAAAGCGGGUGAAAAGCCCGCUCGCCGGAAGACCAAGGGUUCCUGUCCAACGUUAAUCGGGGCAGGGUGAGUCGACCCCUAAGGCGAGGCCGAAAGGCGUAGUCGAUGGGAAACAGGUUAAUAUUCCUGUACUUGGUGUUACUGCGAAGGGGGGACGGAGAAGGCUAUGUUGGCCGGGCGACGGUUGUCCCGGUUUAAGCGUGUAGGCUGGUUUUCCAGGCAAAUCCGGAAAAUCAAGGCUGAGGCGUGAUGACGAGGCACUACGGUGCUGAAGCAACAAAUGCCCUGCUUCCAGGAAAAGCCUCUAAGCAUCAGGUAACAUCAAAUCGUACCCCAAACCGACACAGGUGGUCAGGUAGAGAAUACCAAGGCGCUUGAGAGAACUCGGGUGAAGGAACUAGGCAAAAUGGUGCCGUAACUUCGGGAGAAGGCACGCUGAUAUGUAGGUGAAGUCCCUCGCGGAUGGAGCUGAAAUCAGUCGAAGAUACCAGCUGGCUGCAACUGUUUAUUAAAAACACAGCACUGUGCAAACACGAAAGUGGACGUAUACGGUGUGACGCCUGCCCGGUGCCGGAAGGUUAAUUGAUGGGGUCAGCGCAAGCGAAGCUCUUGAUCGAAGCCCCGGUAAACGGCGGCCGUAACUAUAACGGUCCUAAGGUAGCGAAAUUCCUUGUCGGGUAAGUUCCGACCUGCACGAAUGGCGUAAUGAUGGCCAGGCUGUCUCCACCCGAGACUCAGUGAAAUUGAACUCGCUGUGAAGAUGCAGUGUACCCGCGGCAAGACGGAAAGACCCCGUGAACCUUUACUAUAGCUUGACACUGAACAUUGAGCCUUGAUGUGUAGGAUAGGUGGGAGGCUUUGAAGUGUGGACGCCAGUCUGCAUGGAGCCGACCUUGAAAUACCACCCUUUAAUGUUUGAUGUUCUAACGUUGACCCGUGAUCCGGGUUGCGGACAGUGUCUGGUGGGUAGUUUGACUGGGGCGGUCUCCUCCUAAAGAGUAACGGAGGAGCACGAAGGUUGGCUAAUCCUGGUCGGACAUCAGGAGGUUAGUGCAAUGGCAUAAGCCAGCUUGACUGCGAGCGUGACGGCGCGAGCAGGUGCGAAAGCAGGUCAUAGUGAUCCGGUGGUUCUGAAUGGAAGGGCCAUCGCUCAACGGAUAAAAGGUACUCCGGGGAUAACAGGCUGAUACCGCCCAAGAGUUCAUAUCGACGGCGGUGUUUGGCACCUCGAUGUCGGCUCAUCACAUCCUGGGGCUGAAGUAGGUCCCAAGGGUAUGGCUGUUCGCCAUUUAAAGUGGUACGCGAGCUGGGUUUAGAACGUCGUGAGACAGUUCGGUCCCUAUCUGCCGUGGGCGCUGGAGAAUUGAGGGGGGCUGCUCCUAGUACGAGAGGACCGGAGUGGACGCAUCACUGGUGUUCGGGUUGUCAUGCCAAUGGCACUGCCCGGUAGCUAAAUGCGGAAGAGAUAAGUGCUGAAAGCAUCUAAGCACGAAACUUGCCCCGAGAUGAGUUCUCCCUGACUCCUUGAGAGUCCUGAAGGAACGUUGAAGACGACGACGUUGAUAGGCCGGGUGUGUAAGCGCAGCGAUGCGUUGAGCUAACCGGUACUAAUGAACCGUGAGGCUUAACCUU
rnacentral:rRNA from 1 species